rnacentral:rRNA from 1 species
UACGUAGGGGGCAAGCGUUGUCCGGAAUCAUUGGGCGUAAAGAGCGUGUAGGCGGCUCGGUAAGUCCGUUCUGAAAGUCCAGGGCUCAACCCUGGGAUGCGGAUGGAUACUGCCGGGCUCGAGUCCGGAAGAGGCGAGUGGAAUUCCCGGUGUAGCGGUGAAAUGCGCAGAUAUCAGGAGGAACACCGGUGGCUAAGGCGGUUCUCUAGUACGGUACUGACGCUGAGACGCGAAAGCGUGGGGAGCGAACAGG